UCAUGUAAUGAUUUCCUAGUAGUCUUAUGCAUUGAAUCCCAUAAAAAAUCUAUAGUUAAGCGUGCUUGGGCUAGAGUAGUACUAGGAUGGUGACCUCCCGGGAAGUCCUAGUGUUUUACAUGCC
rfam:Picea glauca, whole genome shotgun sequence.